rnacentral:lncRNA from 1 species
GAUGGCAGAUCAUGGAUAAAUUAUCAAACCUCAACAUCAGUCUUAUGAUAGAUUGAUUAGCUCAAGUCUAGUUGUGACUUUUAUAAAAACUCUUUUCCAUCAAUCACACCGCUGUGGCCAUAGACUCUUGGACUUAGCCUCCUAAGUUUUAUAGGACUACUCUCUAUCCAGGUUGAUAGAUUCUAUCUUGAUGCGCAUCCGACUCCUAUAGUGGACCAACUUUCGCCAACAUCUACUACAAGGGCUCAUUGAGACCUAUGUUUAUGUGUCAAUCAAACUCCAGCA